AGUUAAUAAGCUAACAGCAUGUGUCUUGAAAACACAAAUUAGAAGUUAAAACCUUCUAUUAACUU
rnacentral:tRNA from 2 species